AUGCUUGGGUUUGACAGAAAACAUGUGCUAACAAAGAAUGGAUCAGAAAAAUGGAAGUUCUUUCACUGGAUUUAUCCUACUGGGUUUCUCUGACAGGCCUCAGCUGGAGCUAGUCCUCUUUGUGGUUUUUUGAUCUUCUAUAUCUUCACUUUGCUGGGGAACAAAACCAUCAUUGUAUUAUCUCACUUGGACCCACAUCUUCACAAUCCUAUGUAUUUUUUCUUCUCCAACCUAAGCUUUUUGGAUCUGUGUUACACAACCGGCAUUGUUCCACAGCUCCUGGUUAAUCUCAGGGGAGCAGACAAAUCAAUCUCCUAUGGUGGUUGUGUAGUUCAGCUGUACAUCUCUCUAGGCUUGGGAUCUACAGAAUGCGUUCUCUUAGGAGUGAUGGCAUUUGACCGCUAUGCAGCUGUUUGCAGGCCCCUCCACUACACAGUAGUCAUGCACCCUUGUCUGUAUGUGCUGAUGGCUUCUACUUCAUGGGUCAUUGGUUUUGCCAACUCCCUAUUGCAGACGGUGCUCAUCUUGCUUUUAACACUUUGUGGAAGAAAUAAAUUAGAACACUUUCUUUGUGAGGUUCCUCCAUUGCUCAAGCUUGCCUGUGUUGACACUACUAUGAAUGAAUCUGAACUCUUCUUUGUCAGUGUCAUUAUUCUUCUUGUACCUGUUGCAUUAAUCAUAUUCUCCUAUAGUCAGAUUGUCAGGGCAGUCGUGAGGAUAAAGUCAGCAACAGGGCAGAGAAAAGUGUUUGGGACAUGUGGCUCCCACCUCACAGUGGUUUCCCUGUUCUACGGCACAGCUAUCUAUGCUUACCUCCAGCCCGGCAACAACUACUCUCAGGAUCAGGGCAAGUUCAUCUCUCUCUUCUACACCAUCAUUACACCCAUGAUCAACCCCCUCAUAUAUACACUGAGGAACAAGGAUGUGAAAGGAGCACUUAAGAAGGUGCUCUGGAAGAACUACGACUCCAGAUGA